UACAGAGGGUGCAAGCGUUACUCGGAGUUACUGGGCGUAAAGGGCGCGUAGGUUGUAGUAUAAGUUGGUUGUGAAAUCCCCGGGCUUAACCUGGGAACUGCAAGCAAUACUGUAUUACUAGAGUACUGUAGAGGGUAGUGGAAUUUCCGGUGUAGCGGUGAAAUGCGUAGAGAUCGGAAGGAACACCAGUGGCGAAGGCGGCUACCUGGACAGAUACUGACACUGAGGCGCGAGAGCGUGGGGAGCAAACAGG
rnacentral:rRNA from 1 species